CUUGUGAUUCCCUGGUGAUGUUUGGCUCUUGCUCGGCUUUGGUGGUUGCUUGAAGCACGUCCGCUUUCAAGAGAUGGACUAAUCGCUUGCCGCUGACCUGCGGGUGUAUAAUGGAAUGUGGGUCUAUGUGUCGUAUCAGAGGAUUCGCUGCCAAUUCAACUUCUUCCUCAGACUGGGGCUUGUUUCCAGAAGUGAUUAGACGCGAUGCAAUCUUCCUUUGCAACCGACAGCGACGUUACGAGGUCCUUCUUCGUGGUACCACCUUGCAGAACUUUCAAUCUGGAAUCUGUUACAGUUUAGCAUAUUAGAUUUCUGCAGAAAAGUCAUUUGCAAUUAUGUAAUAUCAACCUCAUUCAAAUACUUAUGUCUCUACUGCUUAUCACAAAAAUGCUCAGAGAUAAGUACUAUGAAUAACACACUUAUACGAUUACAUUUAUAAAUCUAAAUGAGAUGUAUGUACAACUCAAUGCAAAUUUAAUACAAUGCACAAAUUCAGUUUAAUUUUUAAAUUUACACAUGUAUUGGUCUUGCGGCUCAAGGAAACCUGGCAUACUCUGUGGAUACAUAGGUGACCAAACGUACCAUACGCGGUGCUGCAAAUCCAUAGAGGUAUACAUGUUUAACUUAUCUUCUGCUCUGCGUAAUGGCUAAUUGGGAGAUCGCAGCUUGGUACGUCUUGCUAGCUUACAUACCUACCACUCUCCUGGGUGGUAUAGGUGUCGUAAUGCUGGCUUCAUUCUGUUAUAUCACUGACAUAACGAAUGAGAAUAAACGAGCAUGGCACCUGGCUUGGUUGGAUGCGUCGACGAACGCUGGUCUGCUGAUAGGUUUGUUUUCCGCCCCAGCGAUAUUUGACGCAUAUGGAUAUAUCACUGUAUUUGGUGUGGUGACUGUAUUAUGCGCUGUAGCAAUAUUGUACAUAGUGAUCUUUGUUCCGGAAACUAUACAUAGCAACAGUUCCAUGAGUGCUUCAAAAUAUUCGCCGAGUCAAUCCCUACAUUCUUUUAGACACUUUAUAGUGUGUAAAGUUGGAAUCUAACAUGAAAUGAGUAUCAUUGAAUAAAUAACAAUGAUGGUUCUGUUACAGGGUAUCUGUCAGAUGUUUGACUUUGUGCUCAUAAAGGAUCUUAUCAACACGUGUCUUAGGAUGAGAUAGAUUCAACAGAUCGAUAGUAUGGAUCUGCAUAGGUAGCCUCACGUUCAGUUCGCGAGCGCACGACUCGGCUAGUCCGUCGAGAGAUCCUCCUAAGUGUAUCCUCUGCCAGUGUGGUUCUUAUCAGUAGCAAUUUAUGUUCUAAACUAUCGUGUUCCUAAUAGGUAUUCAGACACAAAUGAAAAGCAAUAAUGUAGCUUACACUUCAAUUACAGACAACGAGGACGCACUCGAUUCUUGAGUAUUUUAUUAAAGAGUAUGUUUUAUUAAACGAAAACAAUCAUGAAAACGGAAGACGAACGAAAUGAUGAGCUG